rnacentral:rRNA from 1 species
AGAGUUUGAUCAUGGCUCAGAACGUACGCUGGCGGCACGCCUAACACAUGCAAGUCGAACGAAGUAGCAAUACUUAGUGGCAGACGGGUGAGUAACAUGUGGGUAUCUGCCCUUUGGCCUGGAAUAACACGAGGAAACUUGUGCUAAUACCGGAUAAGUCUUUACGGAGAAAGCUUUAUGCACCAUUGGAUGAGCCCGCACUUGAUUAGUUUGUUGGUGGGGUAAUGGCCUACCAAGACUGUGAUCAAUAGCUGAUUUGAGAGGAUGAUCAGCCACAUUGGGACUGAGACACGGCCCAAACUCCUACGGGAGGCAGCAGUGGGGAAUCUUGCACAAUGGAGGAAACUCUGAUGCAGCGAUGCCGCGUGAGUGAAGAAGGCCUUUGGGUUGUAAAGCUCUUUCGUCGGGGAAGAAAAUGACUGUACCCGAAUAAGAAGGUCCGGCUAACUUCGUGCCAGCAGCCGCGGUAAUACGAAGGGGCCUAGCGUAGUUCGGAAUUACUGGGCUUAAAGAGUUCGUAGGUGGUUGAAAAAGUUGGUGGUGAAAUCCCAGAGCUUAACUCUGGAACUGCCAUCAAAACUUUUCAGCUAGAGUUUGAUAGAGGAAAGCAGAAUUUCUAGUGUAGAGGUGAAAUUCGUAGAUAUUAGAAAGAAUACCAAUUGCGAAGGCAGCUUUCUGGAUCAUUACUGACACUGAGGAACGAAAGCAUGGGUAGCGAAGAGGAUUAGAUACCCUCGUAGUCCAUGCCGUAAACGAUGUGUGUUAGACGUUGGAGAUUUAUUUUCAGUGUCGCAGCGAAAGCGAUAAACACACCGCCUGGGGAGUACGACCGCAAGGUUAAAACUCAAAUGAAUUGACGGGGACCCGCACAAGUAGUGGAGCAUGUGGUUUAAUUCGAAGAUACGCGCAGAACCUUACCAACACUUGACAUGUUCGUCGCGACUUUAAGAGAUUAAAGUUUUCGGUUCGGCCGGACGAAACACAGGUGCUGCAUGGCUGUCGUCAGCUCGUGUCGUGAGAUGUUGGGUUAAGUCCCGCAACGAGCGCAACCCUCACUUUUAGUUGCCAUCAUUUAGUUGGGCACUCUGAAAGAACUGCCAGUGAUAAGCUGGAGGAAGGUGGGGAUGACGUCAAGUCCUCAUGGCCCUUACGUGUUGGGCUACACACGUGCUACAAUGGCAUCUACAACAGGAAGCAAGACAGCGAUGUUAAGCAAAUCCUUAAAAGAUGCCUCAGUUCGGAUUGCACUCUGCAACUCGAGUGCAUGAAGCUGGAAUUACUAGUAAUCGUGGAUCAGCGUGCCACGGUGAAUGCGUUCCCGGGUCUUGUACACACCGCCCGUCACACCAUGGGAGUUGGUUCUACCUUAAGGCAAGGUUUUAAACCCUUGACCACGGUAUAGUCAGCGACUGGGGUGAAGUCGUAACAAGGUA